UACGUAGGGGGCAAGCGUUGUCCGGAAUUAUUGGGCGUAAAGAGCUCGUAGGCGGUGUGUCGCGUCGGCCGUGAAAACCUGCAGCUUAACUGUGGGCUUGCGGUCGAUACGGGCAUCACUGGAGUUCGGCAGGGGAGACUGGAAUUCCUGGUGUAGCGGUGGAAUGCGCAGAUAUCAGGAGGAACACCAAUAGCGAAGGCAGCUCGCUGGGACGAUACUGACGCUGAGGAGCGAAAGCGUGGGGAGCAAACAGG
rnacentral:rRNA from 1 species